UGAUAGUGCUACUGGAUAGAUAAGCGUGGUGCGCCGAUUCGGUACUCAACGUGAAUGAGAGCGCAAGGCACUCAAUCGAAUCGCACAAUCAGUUUAGCAAGCGCGGCGCGCCGAUGAUACAAGUGUUUUGCCCGCGCCGAAUGCCGUCUGGUGCGCGCGCGGCGGUCGAGCCCAGCUCAAACUCGCCGCCGAUUGGCCGGACGCGUAUCGUACGAUGUCUUCGACGUGUGUUCCUCACCUGGCGCGCGCUCGCUCGCACCGAGCGCACGAAAAUAGCGCGCCGCUUCGCCAAUUCACAAUUUGUUUACGCGCGAGAGUACGCGACUAUUUACAACUCAUCAGCGUUGUCCGUGAUCGCCGUAUUUCGCACGAUUGUGAUCGCACCGAUUAUCAUUACGCCAGUGAUUCACCAAUUCAUUUCUCCGGCGUGGGUGACUAUCAGGAGACACGCGAUAUUGUAGUAGCAGUGCGCUGUUAUUGGUCCGUGGUAUGAUUGAUCAUCGUCCUUAUUCGUCAAUUAGGAGCUCAGUACGGCGCUCAAUUGGUAUACAAAAACGCGCGCCGAUAAAUGCACAAUUGCCAUGAAUUAACACUCCAUUCAUGCCUACUUUACUCGCGAUGCAAUCGUACGAAACUCGAAAAAAAAAUCAAGAUGUUCGAAAAUUUCCAGUCAAACUUUCCAGCGCCCAAGGCCAGCCGCAAUAAAAUCCAAAACUUAUCUAGCCGCCACAAAAUUUCCGUCGAGUGUUGAAAUUUUCGCUGAUUUCGGGGCAGAAAUAAAAGUUAAACUCGUAAAAAACGUUUUAACAGUUUCGAAAAUCGCGUUUUUAUUGAGUAAUUAAAAAUUGCGCGCGUUUUACGUAAUUUAUUUCAGUAGAAAUUUAAUACUAAGAUAAAGAGCAUUAAUAUCGCACUUAAAUAAAUAAAUAAACAUUGAAGAGUGAUGACAGUGCGUGCAAAAAACCAUGCAUGACUUUUACUUCCGAAGAUUUGAUUUAUUUCAGUGCGCAUCAUGCUCAUCUUAAGUCUAAUCCAAGUAUAAAGCAGUUAAGUCGACUUACGUGUUAUAAAUAAUGCUGUAUAGAUGGUAAAACACCUUUUGAUUUGUUUAAUCACAGUAUUCAUUCUUCUUCAGGCCUUCCCUUUAGGUACUUCCGGUCGGUAGUAAGUUGUUGUAGGUAAGUAGUAAGUAAGUGACGUUUAGCGCACUUAAUCUUUGGAAUUUUAAGUAUUUUUCUCUUUGAAUACUUCGUCUUAACACAUAAAUAGAUCUUCUUAAACGUUUACGUAACAGGGGCAAUAAUAAUUCUUGUUGAGAAAAUGUUUGGUUUUCAGCGAUUCGGUGAGUUGGACUUUUGUAAGUAAGAGUUGAGUCGGACCACGACCACGUGGAAGCAGCAGCAGCAGGUAGGGAGCGCGAGAGAUAGAGGUAUGGGGCCCGGUGCGCGUGCAAACACGUCGAAUGCUGCCGACUAACUGACUUCGAGCGAACUGAGCGAAGGCGCGAUCGGCGCGAACGUAGCGAGCUGGGUGAUCCGCGAUCCUCUCGCCGCUCCACGGACGCCGGUGCUAUAUAGGGGCCGCCGCACCGCUCGCACCCAUUGCCCAACCACACACAACUCCAUUGCUCCUUGUUCAGCGCACACACACACCUGACGCGUUUGCGUAUGGAUGGUGUGAUGCCGCUGGUUGGGUGACGUCAUGUCGUAUGAUUUUCUACCGGGCGCCCACCAAACCCAUGGUCCCCCCCGGUUCCACCAAGUUUUAGCGUGCGAUUGCAUCGACUACAGCCCAUUCAGACCCAUUCGGAUCGUGUCGCAUACAUGGGAACAACUCGAAUAAAUUCAACAGCUUCCAUUUAAUUAUUUAUUGUUUCUGUUUUGAAUUCAGCCAACGCGCAUUCCUCACAUUUUAUUUUGAUUUAAAAUGUUAGUUUUUAUAUUUUAAGCUACAAAUCGAAAGGAAUUGGCAUUGUAAGUAGGUGAAGUUCGUUUUCACCUUCGAAAGAAAUUUUGUGUCAAAUAUUUCGCACGAUUCUAAUCCCAGCCGACUGGUUUUCAAGGGUAUUUACUCCCAGCAGCGGCGAUUGGCCCUUGCGGCGAUUAAAUUCUUAUCAAAAAAUACGUCCGCGUCCAGUCACAAUCCGAUUGUCGGCCGUACAUUCUAGUCAUUUACAUAUUCCAACAUAUUCCAACUAUUAUUAAUGUUGCGCGCAUUCUUGAUUAAUUGUUUCGUAUCAAUAUUCGUUAUUUAUUAGAUAACAGCCGAACGUGUUUAUAACUUGCAACUGUUACAUAUUUCGAAGCACAUUCCGCGUUUCGUAGGAGAGGCCGGGCGCUGCUUGUUUGCGACGAAUCUGGCCACGCCGGCGGUUGCGGAGGCAGCGAUGGCGGCGCAGAAACCUCAUAACUCAUAACGUAUGCACUUUGGCACCUUUGGCGCUUGAUUUCGAUUUGCCAAGCGCGGAAAACAAACUGUAUAGCGGCGAAUUCAUCAACUCCUACGGGUUUUGAAUGUACGACGGAGUUUCUUUGACAGAUGCGCAUAAUUUAUGUACAUCAAAAAGCUGAAAUUUCAGUUUCGUAUGAUGAUGAUUUCAAAUAUUUGCUCGUUACUUCGAUGUUUACUUAUUCACUUUUUAACCUUACCGUUAGUAUUGGUUUUGGCCCAGUUAUUAAUAUUCGAGACGCAAAAGGUCAUUGCGGUGCGCUUGAAAACAAUACAUUUUUAUCCCUUCGAAAUUAUUGGAAUAUUUGUGAAUAGAAUUUUUUUUCGAAUGUUUAAACUCUGCUUUCCAAAUUUCACGCUAGUUUUCAGUGUGUUGGAUGUACGUCAGUCGAGAUUUGCAUCGCAAAACCGCACGAUUGGACGACUCAUAAUAAUUUACAUCAUAAACACAAGUGAAUAUUAAUUGCGCUGUAAAAAACAAAAAUAAAAAUUGCGUUUUCAUCUUUUCGAUAUUCGCGCACACAGACGCAACGGUAGUGAAACUGCAUAACAAUCGGCGCGCGUGGAUUUACAAGUCAAAUGCGAUUUCGAUGCCGUCUGCGCCUGAAUAUGGGGCGCAACCUUAAGCCGACGUAACCCGAUAGAAGUAUAUGGCACGAAAUUAUCAUUGGAAAUGCGUUGCACACACCGUGAUUGUCACAAUUCGGUGGCAACAGGCGGGCGUGCGUUACCAUGUCAAGAAAGAAAGUUGCGCAUUGUAUUAUGCAUUCAAUUCGACCUAAUGAAUUACAAAAUGCAAUUUUUUUCCUGUUGGAAUAAGGAACAUU